rnacentral:rRNA from 1 species
AGCGAACGCUGGCGGCAGGCCUAACACAUGCAAGUCGAACGAACCUUUCGGGGUUAGUGGCGGACGGGUGAGUAACACGUGGGAACGUGCCUUUAGGUUCGGAAUAACUCAGGGAAACUUGUGCUAAUACCGAAUGUGCCCUUCGGGGGAAAGAUUUAUCGCCUUUAGAGCGGCCCGCGUCUGAUUAGCUAGUUGGUUGAGGUAAUGGCUCACCAAGGCGACGAUCAGUAGCUGGUCUGAGAGGAUGAUCAGCCACAUUGGGACUGAGACACGGCCCAAACUCCUACGGGAGGCAGCAGUGGGGAAUCGUGCGCAAUGGGCGAAAGCCUGAUGCAGCGACGCCGCGUGGGGGAUGAAGGCCUGCGGGGUGUAAACUUCUUUUGCUCUGAACAAGGCGCACUUUUGGGUGUGUUGAGUGUAGGGGUGGAUUAGCGCCGGCUAACUACGUG